rnacentral:rRNA from 1 species
UACGAAGGGAGCUAGCGUUGUUCGGAAUCACUGGGCGUAAAGCGCACGUAGGCGGAUGUGUCAGUCAGGGGUGAAAUCCCGGAGCUCAACUUCGGAACUGCCUUUGAUGCAGCACGUCUUGAGUCCGAUAGAGGUGGGUGGAAUUCCUAGUGUAGAGGUGAAAUUCGUAGAUAUUAGGAAGAACACCGGUGGCGAAGGCGGCCCACUGGAUCGGUACUGACGCUGAGGUGCGAAAGCGUGGGGAGCAAACAGG